rnacentral:lncRNA from 1 species
ACAGCAGUCAAUAUUGUGUUAUCAUUUUAAUAUCACUAUAAAACAACAAAUGUAACGAAGAAUCACAAAAAGGCAUACAUCAAAUUUAACAUACUCUUUUUGCUUUUCUUAUACCACUGAAUUUAUGUAUAUAAAGUCUACCCGUAAAGGAAAGGUUUUCCUUGCUGGUGUAAAAAUGCGCGUUUGAAAUUCGUACAGGUAGACAUAAAAAUAAUUUUGUCGUUUAAAGUAUGAAGGCAUACAUACUUGCAUCACUAUAAAAAAAAAAAAAAAUGUAACGAAAAA